GUUGAGGAAGAUAAUGACGGUACUCAACAAGGAAGUGACGGCUAACUACGUGCCAGCAGCCGCGGUAAAACGUAGGUCACAAGCGUUGUCCGGAAUUACUGGGUGUAAAGGGAGCGCAGGCGGGAAGACAAGUUGGAAGUGAAAUCUAUGGGCUCAACCCAUAAACUGCUUUCAAAACUGUUUUUCUUGAGUAGUGCAGAGGUAGGCGGAAUUCCCGGUGUAGCGGUGGAAUGCGUAGAUAUCGGGAGGAACACCAGUGGCGAAGGCGGCCUACUGGGCACCAACUGACGCUGAGGCUCGAAAGUGUGGGUAGCAAACAGGAUUAGAUACCCUGGUAGUCCACACUGUAAACGAUGAUUACUAGGUGUUGGAGGAUUGACCCCUUCAGUGCCGCAGUUAACACAAUAAGUAAUCCACCUGGGGAGUACGACCGCAAGGUUGAAACUCAAAGGAAUUGACGGGGGCCCGCACAAGCAGUGGAGUAUGUGGUUUAAUUCGACGCAACGCGAAGAACCUUACCAAGUCUUGACAUCCUGCGACGAUGCUGGAAACAGUAUUUUCCUUCGGGACGCAGAGACAGGUGGUGCAUGGUUGUCGUCAGCUCGUGUCGUGAGAUGUUGGGUUAAGUCCCGCAACGAGCGCAACCCUUAUGGUCAGUUACUACGCAAGAGGACUCUGGCCGGACUG
rnacentral:rRNA from 1 species